ACUAGUAUAUUUUAAGAACCUUAUUUAAAGGUGCUUGUAAUUCAUUUGAAAGAUACCUAUCUUUGAAUAUUGAAUAUUAUUGAAACCCUUUAGUCUUGAAUGACUAGUGUUAAUUUGGUGGAGUCUAAAUUGAACAACCCCGGUUUGAUCUAACAGUUUGCAAGAGAUGGCUAUUCUCUUGAGGAUUGUUCGAAUAGGAUAGGUGCCUUUUGAUCCUUUUGGGGGAUGGCUAAGACUUUGAACGUUUCGACGCUUUGAGAAAAGGAAAAGCUAUUGCGGAGUGAUUGCAUUGUUCCAGUUCGGCUUCGAGAUUUUGAGCCAGAGACGUCCUCAAGACCUUGCAUCUAGUUGAGGUUGUUCGUUACCAAGAUCAGAGGGUGAGCUGUUAUCCGUUCCAUGCCGCCUGAAGAUCCUUCUUUAUUUCAGAUGUUUAAUUUCAUCCCAGAAAUUAUGUUUAUUUUUAGACAAUAUCUCUUCUUCUAGACAUUGUUGGUUAGAGUCCUUGUACGGUGACUUUUAGAUUUUGAGGAUGUAAUAGCUAGAUUUCCACACUUGCUAUUUAGUUUAUUUUAUUGUCAGACAUCUGA